GGCAGCAGUGGGGAAUCUUGCACAAUGGAGGAAACUCUGAUGCAGCGAUGCCGCGUGAGUGAAGAAGGCCCUUGGGUUGUAAAGCUCUUUCGUCGGGGAAGAAAAUGACUGUACCCGAAUAAGAAGGUCCGGCUAACUUCGUGCCAGCAGCCGCGGUAAUACGAAGGGACCUAGCGUAGUUCGGAAUUACUGGGCUUAAAGAGUUCGUAGGUGGUUGAAAAAGUUGGUGGUGAAAUCCCAGAGCUUAACUCUGGAACUGCCAUCAAAACUUUUCAGCUAGAGUUUGAUAGAGGAAAGCAGAAUUUCUAGUGUAGAGGUGAAAUUCGUAGAUAUUAGAAAGAAUACCAAUUGCGAAGGCAGCUUUCUGGAUCAAUACUGACACUGAGGAACGAAAGCAUGGGUAGCGAAGAGGAUUAGAUACCCUCGUAGUCCAUGCCGUAAACGAUGUGUGUUAGACGUUGGAAAUUUAUUUUCAGUGUCACAGCGAAAGCAAUAAACACACCGCCUGGGGAGUACGACCGCAAGGUUAAAACUCAAAUGAAUUGACGG
rnacentral:rRNA from 1 species